rnacentral:misc_RNA from 1 species
GCGCUGCGCUGCGCAAAAUCCAAAAUCACAGAAUUGUAAUUAUUAAUUAUUAUUUUUGUAUGUAAUAAUGUAAUUUGUAAUCUAAUGAAAACUGGGUAUGUGCUUCUUUAUAGAAUGUGAGUUCAUUGUAAAAUUAUUACUGGACUACAUAAAAUUAAGUGUAAUAAAAUGGAAGUUAAACAAGAAAUUAGUGAGGAGAGGUGUAAAGUAGAAAUAGAGUAUAAUGACUUUGAUGACUCUCUUUUGGAUGGCUUUAAACGUGAAAUAAAGCAUGAAUCCAAUGGGCACUGUACACAUGACACAUCUGAUUAUUUAGAUUUAAAAGAAGGUCCUAUAAAAACUGAAAUAGAGCAACAUGAAAAUAAACUUAACCUGUUCCAAGAAAACCAAAAAACUGAAAAAGGUUAUCUCCAAGAUGAAAACAAAAUGAAAAUUACAGAGGAACACAUCCAAGAUUCAUCUCACAAAGCAAAUGACAUUAGUGAACACACGGAAGGAAAAACAUUAGGUACAAAUAUAAAGGUUGUAACCGGAAAAAAACCUUAUAAAUGUGAAAUUUGUUUUAAGCAAUUUAAUCGACCGUGUUUUUUGAAACAACAUUUGAGAGUGCACACUGGAGAAAAACCUUACAAGUGUGAAAUUUGUUUAAAGCAAUUUAGUCAAGCAGGUAGUUUGACAACACAUUUGAGAGUACACACUGAGGACAAACCUUACAAGUGUGAAAUUUGUUUAAAGCAGUUUGUUACUGCUAGUGUUUUGAAACAACAUUUGAGAAUACAUACGGGAGAAAACCUGUUCAAGUGUGACCUUUGUUUUAAGCAAUUUAGUAGAGCAGGUCAUUUCAAAGAGCAUUUGAGAGUGCACACUGGAGAAAAACCUUACAAGUGUGAAAUUUGUUUUAAGCAAUUUAGUCAAGCAAGUACUUUGAAAACACAUUCUAGAGUACAUACUGGGGAAAAAGGUUACAAAUGUGAAAUUUGUUUUAAGCAAUUUAGUCAAGCAGGUACUUUGAAAACACAUUUGAAAGUGCACUCUGUGGAGAAACAGUACAAGUGUAAAAUUUGUUUAAAACAGUGUAUUACUACUAGUGCUUUGAAACAACAUUUGAGAAUACAUACGGGAGAAAAACAACUCAAGUGUAAGACUUGUUUUGAGCAAUUUAGUGAAGCAAGUACUUUGAAAACACAUUAUUUGGAAGUGCACACUGGCGAAAGGUCUCAAAAGUGUGAAAUUUGUUUUAAGCAAUUUAUUCAAGCAAGUGAUUUGAAAAUACAUUUGAGAGGACACAGUGAAGAAAAACCCUACAAGUGCGAGAUAUGUUUAAAACAGUUUAUUACUUCUAGUGAUUUUAAACAACAUUCGAGAAUACAUACUGGAGAAAAUCUUUUCGAGUGUGAGAUUUGUUGUAAGCAAUUUACCAAAUCAAAUAAUUUGAAAACACAUUUGAGAGUGCACACUGGGGAAAAACCUUACAAGUGUGAGAUUUGUUUUAAUCGGUUUUCUCAUUCCCACGGUUUGAAACAACAUAUUAUGACAGUGCACAAUGGAGAAAAGCCUCAAAAGUGUAAAAUUUGUUUUAAGCAGUUUUCUCAACAAAGUAACUUGAAUAAACAUUUGAGAUCACACACUGGAGAACAGCCCUACAAGUGUGAAAUUUGUUUUAAACAGUUUAGUCUAGUAGAUUCUUUGAAAAAGCACUUGAAAAUACACACUGGAGAAAAACCUUACAAGUGUGAAACUUGUUCAUACCAGUGUAUUGCGUCUGGUACUUUGAAAAGACAUAUGAAAAUACAUAGAGUGGAUGGCCAAAUUAUUAGGGACAAUGAAACUAUUUCUUAAUUUUUUUUAUAUUUCGGUUAGGUUGACCGUUGAAUUUAGGCGAACGGCACAUCCCUAAUUUGAGGCUUAGAAAUGGAAAAAGCGACCAUGAUAGGUUAUUCCCAAGAUGAAAACAAAAUGGAAAUUCUGGAGAAACUUAUCCAAGGUUCAUCUCACAAAGGAAAUGACACUAUUGGACACACUGAAGGAAAAACAUUAAGUACUAAUAUGAAAGUUGUAACUGGGA